GCUCAAAUUUGAAAUCUGGCCUCGGCCCGAGUUGUAAUUUGCAGAGGAUGCUUUUGGUGCGGUGCCUUCCGAGUUCCCUGGAACGGGACGCCACAGAGGGUGAGAGCCCCGUAUGGUCGGACACCAAUCCUGUGUAAAGCUCCUUCGACGAGUCGAGUAGUUUGGGAAUGCUGCUCUAAAUGGGAGGUAAAUCUCUUCUAAAGCUAAAUACCGGCCAGAGACCGAUAGCGCACAAGUAGAGUGAUCGAAAGAUGAAAAGCACCUUGAAAAGGGGGUUAAACAGUACGUGAAAUUGUUGAAAGGGAAGCACUUGUGACCAGACUUGGGCCGGGCGGCUCAUCAGGGGUUCUCCCCUGUGCAUUCCGCCCGGUACAGGCCAGCAUCGGUUCUUACCGGGGGAUAAGAACGGCAGGAACGUGGCUCCCUCUCGGGGGAGUGUUAUAGCCUGCCGUACGAUACCCUGGCGGGGACCGAGGUUCGCGCUUCCGCAAGGAUGCUGGCGUAAUGGUUACUAGUGACCCGUCUUGAAACACGGACCAAGGAGUCGUCCAUUAGAGCGAGCGUUUGGGUGUAAAACCCGCACGCGUAAUGAAAGUGAAAUUAGGUGAGAGCUUCGGCGCAUCAUCGACCGAUCCUGAUGUUCUCGGAUGGAUUUGAGUAAGAGUUUUAACGGACGGACCCGAAAGACAGUGAACUAUGCUUGUAUAGGGUGAAGCCAGAGGAAACU
rnacentral:rRNA from 1 species